UGUGGUCGCAGAAAUGGUCCAUGUCUGCGCUGUCCAAUAUGGCAGCCACCAGCCAGUGCAGCUACUGAGACCUUGAAAUGUAGCUAGUGUGACUGUGUUGGGAGUUCAGCUCUAAGAUCCCGCUACCUCUUUUUUAUGAUACCAUUUUCUUUAUGUUUCUCUACACAGUCUUUCCUCUGGUCUGUUGUUUUCAAGUUUUUUUAUGUAUGAAAAUAGAAAACUCAAAGAUAGAUCUUUUAUUAGGUUUUUGUUUGGCAAAGCGUCAACGUGUUUAUAACAUAAAGGUAAAGGAAACUUUUUAGAUAAUUAGUUUGGAAAAGCGAGGACAAACCAAAAGGCUGCCCUGGCUGCAGAGGGUAGGGAGGUGAGUCGUGAGUCCUCGGAGGGCCCGGGCAGUACUUGAGCAGACGAGGUUUGCCCGCAGCCACAGCUCCUCCAAGGUGCCGUGCAGACAGCCCCUGCCGCGCCUCUGCUUCUGCCUGGAGGGGGAGCAGAGAGGUCCAAGCAUCUGGAGGACGCUGCAUCUGCCCAACUAGCGGGAAAUGCCAGAUAAGGGCGUUAGACUCAAAGAUCUCCUGGGUCCCUCCAGCCCGAGAGUUCUGUGACUCUCACUUGAUGCUUUCGGAGCACUGACUCCGCCCGCUCCCUCCUGGACUCUCUCCUGCCCCGCCUGCCAUCAUCCACGCUCUCCUGGUGCUCCUCCUCCUCAUCCUGCCUCCUUCUCUUGGUCUUCCUCCCAGGCUCUUCUUAAAUGUUGGAAUCCUCCAGGGUUUAUCCUUGGACCUCUGAUGCUGGAACUGCCCGCCCCUCCUAGCUGUAGCAGCUGCCUGCCUGCUAAUGACACCACAUCGGCCUGUCUCUACCCCAGCUUCUCUGCUCCUGGCCUCUGGGGAGCAUAUCGAAUGGCUACUGGAUGUUGGUACAUGGACGUCCACGGGCACAUCCAACUUCCCGUGUCC
rnacentral:lncRNA from 1 species